GAAAUACAACAGUGACUAAAACAAAACUCCCUGCCUUCUCGGAGUUUAUAUUAUGGUGGGAGAUGGAGAAAAUAAACAGGAUAAGUUAGUAAAAUAUAUAUUCCUGAUAUUACGUAUUAGGAAGUAGUUGGUGCUAAGGGGGAAAAUAAGGCAAGAAAGAAUAUAAAAUAUCUGUGGGGAUGAGGUAUUCAAGUGUUAGAUAGUUGUCCAGGGAAAGUCUCAUUAAUAAGGUGCUUUUGAAGUAAAGACUUGAUGAAAGUGAUGAGCCAGCUGUGAGGGUGUCUGAGGGACAACAUUCAAGGCAGAGGGAACAGUAACUCCAAAAGUCCUAAGAUGGCCUUGUGUGUCUGAGGAAGGUGCCCAGUGUGUCUGAGGAAGGUGCCCAGUGUGUCUGAGGAAGGUGCCUAGUGUGUCUGAGGAAAGUGCCCAGUGUGUCUGAGGAAGGUGCCCAGUGUGUCUGAGGAAAGUGUCCAGUGUGUCUGAGGAAAGUGCCCAGUGUGUCUGAGGAAGGUGCCCAGUGUGUCUGAGACAGGUGCCUCAUGUCUCUGAGGAAGGCGCCCCGUGUGUCUGAGGAAGGUGUCUCCCAUGUCUGAGGAACAGCCAGGAAGCCACUAUUUGACCUGAUGGGGAGGGAAAGCAGUCAGAGAUCAGUUCCGAGAGAAAACAGAGGCCAGUUGUGUGGGGCCUUAUAGGACAUGAUAAGGACUUUGAUUUUCACUCAGAGUAAGAAGAGAAGCCACCAUGGCGUCUGGCCAGAGGAGUAAUAAAAUAUUAUAUAACUCAUUUUUAUGAGUGCUUACCCUGUUUCGUUCUAUUUUAAAUGCUUUAUUUGUAAUCCUCACGAUAACCUUAAGAGGUAGGACCUACAUCUCCCAUUUUACAUCUGAGGAAACAGAGGCCCAAAGAGAUUAAGUUUUGGCUGAAGUCACACAGCCAAAAUUUAGAUCCAGGCCAACUCUUAACCACCUCCUCGUCCUGACUCCCCAAACGCUUAAGAGAUUGAGACUUUCUUUUUUUUUUUUUCUCAAUACCUGUUUUUCCAGAGCACACUUACAACAAAAUUACUUCAUACUCAUUCAUAAAUACAGAACUUCUUCACUUAACCUGAUGAAUAUUCCCAGUAUUCUGCUUUAUGAUUUCAAGUUUUUUAAAAAGCUCUCAGGUUAGCAUAUUAACAAGCAUGUUGACAUGUCUCUCUUUAAUUAUGCAGGCAGCUAUUUCUUUUUUGCUCCUAAUGUAGAGGUUGAUUGGGAAAAUUUUUAUUUUAUUGCUUACAACCUUACCCUAG
rnacentral:lncRNA from 1 species